rnacentral:rRNA from 1 species
GGAAUCUUCCACAAUGGACGAAAGUCUGAUGGAGCAACGCCGCGUGAGUGAAGAAGGUUUUCGGAUCGUAAAGCUCUGUUGUUGGUGAAGAAGGAUAGAGGCAGUAACUGGUCUUUAUUUGACGGUAAUCAACCAGAAAGUCACGGCUAACUACGUGCCAA